GAUGAAGAACGCAGCGAAAUGCGAUACUUGGUGUGAAUUGCAGAAUCCCGUGAACCAUCGAGUCUUUGAACGCAAGUUGCGCCCGAAGCCACUAGGCCGAGGGCACGCCUGCCUGGGCGUCACACGUCGUUCCCCCCCCAUCUACUCCUUCGGGAUUGCGGGGGGCGGAUGAUGGCCUCCCGUGCGCCUCGCCGCGCGGUUGGCAUAAAUACCAAGUCCUCGCCGACGCACGCCACGACAAUCGGUGGUUGCGAAACCUCGGUUGCCCGUCGUGUGCGUUCGUCGCGCAUCGAGGGCUCGAAAAAAUGCUCGGCUCCGGCUCGGCUUUCAACGCGACCCCAGGUCAGGCGGGGUUACCCGCUGAAUUUAAGCAUAUCAAUAAGCGGAGGA
rnacentral:misc_RNA from 1 species